ensembl:lncRNA
ACACACACACACACACCAAUGGUAGCAGAGCUGCCAUGCGAGGCUCUAACUUUGCCAUCGGGAGCAAUUUGGGGCUCGGUGUCUCGCCCAAGGACACUUCAGCAUGUGGAGUCACGUGGGCCGGGAAUCGAACCUCCAACUCUAUGAUUAGUGGACAACCCGCUCUACCACCUGAUCCACAGCCGCACGAUAGUGGCUCUGUUUGUCUGUAUUGUUGAAUGUUUGUACAGUUGUUUCUAUUUAUUCAUUCAUUUCUGUCGUUAUUUUCUAGUGUGUCUGUACCCAAGCUUUAGCGAUACAAAUGUUAAUAUUUGUCAUUCCAGUAAAGCAACCUUUUGACUUUGACAGUAAGAGAUGGGGGGAGGAAGAGAGAGAGAGAGAGAGAGAGAGAGAGAGAGAGAGAUUUAAAGGAGGUGUGGUGUACUCCGUCACUCAGAGGCGUGUCUCUGAACUCUAAGGAUCAAAGGAAAUGAAAUAUUUCUUUAAUCUGAGCGCGCGCGCACACACACACGCACACACUACCUGUCUCGCGCGCGGUCUCUCUCGCUCUCUCACAGACGGAUUUAUUUAUUUGAGUAUUUAUGAUUUUUAUUGGAUGUACAGUUACAGUACAGACUUUCUGAGCAGAACUCGCACAGGAGGAGCCCCACAGAGCCAGGAGAGUCCCACAGGAGGAGUCCCACAGGAGGAGUCCCAGGAGUCCGGAUCCCGGAGUACAGCAGCGGGGUUGGUAUGAGACGGUGAAGAGCGUGCGCAGGAAUUUCAGCCUUCACUGAUUUCAAGUCCUGACGAGUGUGUGAGUAUAUAACUCUCUCAGCUCCUCUUCACUCUCCACACACCACACCACUGACACAGAAACAUUCAACACAGCAUCAGGUCCUAAACCUAAAAAUGAACACGUGUGUACGUGUGUGUGUGUGUGUGUGUGUGUGUUCCUCAGUGAGUGGCACAGAUUGAACAGUAAUCAGAGUUCGGCUUACACCUGCGUAUUUACCUACAUCACACUGUAGACGCACACACACACACACACACACACACACACACACACAAGAAUGUCACACAGGGUUUGUUUUUGUUUUGUAAUUUACAACCUCUUAAAUGUGUACAAUGUAAAUGUUUUACACGAGGGGUACCGAGAAAAAAAUUCAAGUCUGGGGGAAAAAAAGAAAGACAAAAGAAGAAAGAAAGAAGAGCAGUAGUUUAAUAUACAAAGGAAAGAGGGAGUAGAGAAAGACAGGAAAGAACGAAAGAAAGAAAAGAAAGAAGAGCAGUAGUUUAAUAUAAAAAAGAAAGAGGGGGUAGAGAAAGAAAGAAAAGAAAGAAAGAAAGAAAGAAAGAAAGAAGAGUAGUAGUUUAAUAUAAAAAAGGAAAGAGUGAGUAGAGAAAGACAGGAAAGAAAGAAAGACAGAAAAGAAAGAAAGAAAGAAAGAAGAGCAGUAGUUUAAUAUAAACAAAGAAAGAGGGAGUAGAGAAAGAAAGAAAGAAAGAAAGAAAGAAAGAAAGAAAGAAAGAAGAAAGAAGAGCAGUAGUUUAAUAUAAAAAAGAAAGAGCGAGUAGAGAAAGACAGAAAGAACGAAAGAACUAACAGCAGGACAACAGAAAAUGACAGAGGGACAGAAUGACGGAAAGAAAAAGAGGGUAGAUGAAAGGAAAAGGAAGAAAGGGAAGAAAAUAUGUGAUAAUAAAUGUUUGAUUCUCAGCAUGUUGUAAAUCUCUCACAUCCGCUCACUUUUUUUCGUUUGCUUUCUGUUUGAAAGAAACUCCUGACGUCACUUUUUCAAGUAGCCCCGCCCCCCCCCCACUGCUCCCCCCCCACUGCUCCCCCCCCCCACUGCUCCCCCAGUAGAAACCCACGCUGUGACUCAGAAGCCGCGCCUUUAAAAAGCAUCCCAUAAAACAAGACGUGUAAACCGUGCUGGAAACUACAGAGCUCACAGUGCUGUAACACACACACACACACACACACACACACACACACACACACACACAGACAGGUAGACCACAGGGUGUGGUAAGAUACACUUCUGAUAAUAAACCCUUAUUACAGGGGCUUUAUGCUCGCUCUUUAUAAGCAACCUGUAGCUUCCCCUCCGAAAGUACUGGAACGGCAAGGCUAAUCCUUCUGUUUUGGGAUGGAAAGAUUAAUAUGAGACAAAAAGAUCAAAUUUCAUAUCCUGUAUAUAAACAAACAACUUCGAACGUGGCAACCUCGGUGGACGACCACCCACCCGACUUGUUUUUGGUGAGCAAAAAUACUGGAACAUGUGACUGCCCGGUGUUUCCUGUAGCCUCAGGUGAGCCCUGUUAGAUUGAUCGUUUGAACGGUUAAUAGCUCUGAACGUCUACUCUUGCUUUGAGCUCUGGGGUUCACCUGUGAAGAUGGCAUUUGUUGUUAAAAAGGGUAAACCAACAUGAAGACCAGAGAGCCGUCUAUGGGAGAAAAGCGAGCCAUUUCGAAGCCUUUCAGAGGGGACUGCAAGUCAGGGUUAUAAUCUUAUUAUACUGCAUGUGCUGCGUGUCUAGAACACUUGAAGAUCAUCUCUCUCUCUAUAUAUAUAUAUAUAUAUUAAAUGAACACAACAGGCCUCAUUUAUCAAGCAGGAUAUGAACGGAUUUCUUCGUAAACAGUUCGUAUAAACGUUCACGCAAGAUCUUUAGCAGGAUCUCAUGCUAGUUCUUUAGGUCAGGGAGCUAAAAGAGUACCAUUGAGAAUAUUUAUCAAUUAAAGAAGAUAAAAAUGUAUUUAUUUUUUGCUAAAUCGAGCCAACAUAGACCCAUGAAUUAAGAAAACUACAAUGAAUCAGUGGCGUAUACACGGACGACGGGCCGUAAACAGACGCCUCCGCUGACAAAAGAUCGAGCGCUCAUUUAUUAUUAUCUUGAGCUUUGAUGGAGUUUUGUGGGCGUCGCUGCAAACGCGCAUGCAAAUGAGCCGUGUAGGUCAUGUGGAGCGUCCGCCAUACAACGAGUUACGAUGGAAAACGUAACACUAUCACACACACACACACACACACACACACCGACGUCCGGGUCAUAGAAGAGUAAAAUCAACGCCUUCUGAAGCAACAUAAUUCCGUAUAUAAAGUGUGUGAGAUGUUUGCUCGUCCAAGUCAAAGUCCAAGUCUUUCACGUUAACCCGAACCCCAGGAUUUCAGCACUCCUUCUUUUCAUCACCGCUUCCGAGCCCGUCGGACCGGGCGUCCUGCAGAUCCAGUUUGCAGCUGGUUCAAUCCAGAGACUCUCACACAACACUGCACCCCUGAGCAAGAAUAAUAGCUGCUCCCUCAAACACACCUGACAGGAUUCACCUGUGACGUGGAGGGACAGAUAAGGGGGGGACUGAGAGAGAGAGAGGUGGAGAGAGAGAGAAAGAGAGAGAGAGAGGUGAAGAGAAAGAGAUAAACAAACACAGAGAGAGAGAGAGAGAGAGAGAGAGAGAGAGAGAGAGAGAGGUGGAGAGAAAGAGAUAAACAAACACAGAGAGAGAGAGAGAGAGAGUUGAAGAGAAAGAGAUAAAAACACAGAAGGAGA